rnacentral:tRNA from 1 species
GAUCCCGUAGCUCAGCAGGGAGAGCGCCACCUUGACAGAGUGGAGGUCGUGAGUUUGAGCCUCUCCGGGGUCA